AUAAAGCUGUCUGGCAUAACAAAGAAAUGCCUUUAUUUUUCUCACUCGUGCGAGCCAUAUGUGUGCGCACUGUGGAAUACCUUUUUCUAUGAAGACACAAUGAAGGCAAACAGAUGCUCGAAUUUACGUCAUUAGACACAAGAGUAUAUAUUUAGCAGCGGAAUAUUUCUCCUGUGUACCCAUAAUUUUCCAGAACGGUGACAUCUCUUUUUCUCCCGCUCCAGAUACCAACUUGGCAGCAGCAAUCUGUCUUCUCAGGCCAAUAAAUUGCAUGGAACCUCCCUGAGAAAUGUGACGUCAAUCCGAACAUGAGGCCUGUCAAUACUUGAAUAAGCCAGCAUGGUUUGGGAUCCUUGGACACGAGCGAACAUAGACAAACUGAAGAGAGUACAGAGUAAGGCUGUAUGAUUUGUAUGAAUAAAUCACACACGAAAUUUUAGUCUAACAGAGGCCAACAAAAUUGGGUGGAACAUGCUACAAAAACGACGUUUAUUUCACAGAUGAAAGCUGUUCCCUGAUAUGUUUCGUUCAAGAACAGGCAUCAAUAACACGAACUAUUUACAUAUGCCCGACUACGUGUCUAUGAGAACGGAUCACGAACUCAAAGUGAAAGAAACUUCAUGUAGAACUAACGUGUGUAGUAAGUCCUUCUUCCCCAAGACAACUCGAGACUGAAAUCGGUUAAGAAGUGAUAUUGCGAAAAUAACUUCAAACGUUAAGUUCGUACAGUCGCUUCAUGAUGUAAUAUUAUGGACAUGAACAUGGUAUAUUUUAUCCUAUGUUACCUGUAUUAUGCAUCCUUUAUCUUCUAUGUAAUCCCUCCCACUGUAAUGCCUAUCGAAGGCGCAGUGGGUACUUUUGUAAAUGAAUAUAUAAACAUCUUACAUUUCUAACGAAACUUGCAAGACACACCUAUAUUAUGGUUAAAUUAUACCAACUUAACAAGCGAAGUAAUUCUUACGCUAAACCUAAAUUGUGGGAAAUUUGUUGUUUUAACCAAUCUAUCAGCCCCAUUUCUACAAUACCUGUGGACGUUAGGGAGUUAGAUUCAAGAAUAAUGCGUGCAUUUUAUUAUGAACAUUUACUAUAUUUAACUGUAUUACUACGUUGGACGCGCUAGCUAAGAUCUGCACACUGAACAACUUCAUUAUUAGAAAUGCACUUUCUUCUUGAUGCUACUUCAAGCCAUAUUGGCCCAUAGAUGGAAGCACAGUGUUGAUAUAAAGGUAAGAAGGAGGCAAAGUUGCUGCUUCGACAGCAGGACCCAUCUUUGGCAAGUGUGGCCUUGUCACCCAUGCUGUGUUACAUUGUUUAUCAUAAAUAGUGUGAUUUGCAGUUAUGUUCUAGAAAGCCACGUUGGCCCGAAAAUAACGUACGUAACGUAACAUAAGGUAGCACUCCUUUAGCCAAAUUUGAGUACUUGUCGUGCUUAAUGGAACAGGAUGCAGAGAUGAGAUUAAGAAUAGACAGAAUAGAGCGAGUCAAAGACAAAAAAAUAUGAAAUACAGGUUUUCAAAAACACGAAACAAUGUUAUAUGGCUAAAGAGGUACUGGAUACGGAGCAAUAUAACAGAAAGCUCAUGUACAAGCUAUGGGAGUGUUUACGUGAAACAGAGUCGGAGAACUGUGAAAGCGCCUCACUGAAGACAAUGCCCGCGUAGAGACAACGACACUUGUGAAGCAAGAAAUUAAAAAUAAUAAACGUUUCAAUAAGUGUUUCUUGCACUAAACUACGGAAAAAUACACAAAGGUCUAAACGAAACAAGUAUCAAAUGAAACAAACUUGAUUUAGAUCCCUUUAACGAUUGCCGAAAGAUAGCAUUCCCGCCUUUAUAUGUGUUGAACAGGCAAGAUAAGAAUUACAUAUGAAGCAGCCCAUUAACGGCAACGAUUUAUACGCUUAUUCACUCCGUCUGUGUUCUCUUAGAAGAGGGUUUCUCUUGCGAAAGCUAGCCGCGUAAUAUUAUCAUCAGCCUAUUUUAUGUCCACUGCUUGACGAAGACCUCUCCCUGCGAUCUCCAAUUACCCCUGUUCUAAGCCAACCAAUUCCAGCUAGCGCCUGCGAAUUUCUUAAUUUCAUCACCCCACCUAGCCUUCUAACGUCCUCGGCUGCGUUUUCCUCCUAUUGGCACGCAUUCUGUCACCCAACAGUCCACCGGUUAUCUAAGCUACGCAUUAUAUGACCUGCCCAGUUUCAUAUCUUCCUCUUAAUCUCAAUUAGAAUAUCGGCUGCUCCUAUUUCUUCUUUGAUCCACCGCGCUCUCUUCUUUUCUCUUAACGUUACGCCUAAUAUCAUUCGCUCCAUCGCUCUUUUCGCGGUACUUAACUUCUUUUCGAGCUUCUUUGUCAGUCUCCCAGUUUCUGUCCUAUAUGUCAUCACUGGUAGAAUGCAUUGAUAGUGCACCUUUAUUUUUCAUGAUAAUGGUAAGCUUCCAGUCAGGAUCCGACAAUGUCUGCUGAAUGCGCUCCAACCCAUUUUUAUUCUUCUCAAAUUUCCUUCUCAUGAUCAGGGUCCCCUGUGAGCAAUUGACCUAGGUAAACGUACUCCUUCACAGACUCUAGAGGCUGAGUGGCGACCCUGAAUUGUUGUUCUCUUGCCCGGCUAUUGAACGUUAUCUUUGUUUUCUGCAUAUUAAUCUUCAACCCCACUCUUAUACUCUCUCUGCUAAGGUCCUCAAUCAUUUAUUUAAUUACAAUAUAUUGCUUAUCUAGUACACUAAAACUAUUACAUCCCAAUAUCGCUUAUUACCUUAACGCAGCUUAAUAUAAUCUGCCUUUGCAUUUCAUAGCAAUAAUACUCGAAACUCCUAUAUAAAUCCGUUUCCGACGCAGCAUGCUCUCUCUCAUUUACCUACAUUGCAGUUUUGUCCAGUUUUUUCACUCGACACACAAGCAAUGUCCGUGAUACUCGCCACUUCUAUUGCUUGCACCUCUUUCUGAACGCGUGCGCUGCUAGCACUCUAUUCAAACCAACGUGCAAAGUGUUAGGUUAUCUACGACGUCAUACAAAAAAGGUUUUUUCAUUGCUGCUAACGCCUGAAUGCAGCUGUGAGCAAGAAAAAAAGUACUUCAGUCAGCAUGAAUGCAGAAGGCAGUGCCAUAAAUCAAGUACCGAAGAG